rnacentral:rRNA from 1 species
CUACGGGGUGCUGCAGUUAGGGAUAUUCGACAAUGCGGGAAACCGUGAUCGAGCAAUGCCGCGUGAGUGAUGAAGGUCUUAUUGAUUGUAAAACUCUGUUAUUUGGGAAGAACACUUAGAAUAGGAAAUGAUUUUAAGUUGACGGUACCUUAUCAGAAAGCUCCGGCUAACUACGUGCCAGAAGCCGCGGUAAUACGUAGGGAGCGAGCGUUAUCCGGAUUUAUUGGGCGUAAAGCGUAUGUAGGCGGUUUAUUAAGUCCAAGGUUAAAGCCCGAAGCUUAACUUCGGUUCGCCUUGGAAACUGAUAGACUUGAAUAUUGUAGAGGCAAGUGGAAUUUCUAGUGUAGCGGUGGAAUGCGUAGAUAUUAGAAGGAACACCAGUGGCGAAGGCGGCUUGCUGGGCAAUUAUUGACGCUGAGAUACGAAAGCGUGGGGAGCAAACAGGAUUAGAUACCCGAGUAGUC